rnacentral:tRNA from 1 species
AAGUAUUGAAGCGAUUUAUUGCAAUUAGUUUCGACCUAAUUUUAGAUGUUAUUCAUCCUUACUUU